AAAUUGAAGAGUUUGAUCAUGGCUCAGAUUGAACGCUGGCGGCAGGCCUAACACAUGCAAGUCGAACGGUAACAGGAAGCAGCUUGCUGCUUUGCUGACGAGUGGCGGACGGGUGAGUAAUGUCUGGGAAACUGCCCGAUGGAGGGGGAUAACUACUGGAAACGGUAGCUAAUACCGCAUAACGUCGCAA
rnacentral:rRNA from 1 species